rnacentral:rRNA from 1 species
UACGAAGGGUGCAAGCGUUACUCGGAAUUAUUGGGCGUAAAGCGCACGUAGGCGGUUCGUUAAGUCGGAUGUGAAAGCCCUCGGCUCAACUGAGGAAGUGCACCCGAAACUGGCGAGCUUGAGUACGAAAGAGGAUCGCGGAAUUCCCGGUGUAGAGGUGAAAUUCGUAGAUAUCGGGAGGAACACCGGUGGCGAAGGCGGGUCUCUGGGCCGAUACUGACGCUGAGGAGCGAAAGCGUGGGGAGCGACAGG